rnacentral:tRNA from 1 species
GGGCCCAUGGUAAAAUGGUAUUACACAGCCAUGGCAUGGCUGGGGUCGGGGUCCGAUUCCCCGUGGGUCCA